UCGACCGCCUGGGGAGUACGGCCGCAAGGUUAAAACUCAAAUGAAUUGACGGGGGCCCGCACAAGCGGUGGAGCAUGUGGUUUAAUUCGAUGCAACGCGAAGAACCUUACCUGGUCUUGACAUCCACAGAACUUUCCAGAGAUGGAUUGGUGCCUUCGGGAACUGUGAGACAGGUGCUGCAUGGCUGUCGUCAGCUCGUGUUGUGAAAUGUUGGGUUAAGUCCCGCAACGAGCGCAACCCUUAUCCUUUGUUGCCAGCGGUUAGGCCGGGAACUCAAAGGAGACUGCCAGUGAUAAACUGGAGGAAGGUGGGGAUGACGUCAAGUCAUCAUGGCCCUUACGACCAGGGCUACACACGUGCUACAAUGGCAUAUACAAAGAGAAGCGACCUCGCGAGAGCAAGCGGACCUCAUAAAGUAUGUCGUAGUCCGGAUUGGAGUCUGCAACUCGACUCCAUGAAGUCGGAAUCGCUAGUAAUCGUAGAUCAGAAUGCUACGGUGAAUACGUUCCCGGGCCUUGUACACACCGCCCGUCACACCAUGGGAGUGGGUUGCAAAAGAAGUAGGUAGCUUAACCUUCGGGAGGGCGCUUACCACUUUGUGAUUCAUGACUGGGGUGAAGUCGUAACAAGGUAACCGUAGGGGAACCUGCGGUUGGAUCACCUCCUUA
rnacentral:rRNA from 1 species